rnacentral:rRNA from 1 species
AACAAACGCUGGCGGCGUGCCUAACACAUGCAAGUCGUACGAGAAAGGGUCCUUCGGGGCCUGAGUAAAGUGGCGCACGGGUGAGUAACGCGUGGAUAAUCUGCCCUUCAGUUGGGAAUAACUCAUCGAAAGGUGGGCUAAUACCGAAUAAUGCUGUGAGACCUCGGUUGAUCAGCCAAAGAGAGCCUCUGCUUGCAAGCCCUCGCUGAAGGAUGAGUCCGCGUACCAUUAGCUAGUUGGUAGGGUAAUGGCCAACCAAGGCGACGAUGGUUAGCUGGUCUGAGAGGAUGAUCAGCCACACUGGAACUGAGACACGGUCCAGACUCCUACGGGAGGCAGCAGUGAGGAAUCUUGCGCAAUGGGGGCAACCCUGACGCAGCAACGCCGCGUGAGUGAGGAAGGUCUUCGGAUCGUAAAGCUCUGUCGGAUGGAAAGAACCGCAUAGGGGUAAACAGCCCCUGUGUCUGACGGUACCAUCAAAGGAAGCACCGGCUAACUCCGUGCCAGCCGCCGCGGAACAC